AUUUCUGACUUAGAACGUCUUCCUAUUAUGAUACUCCUCUCCUCCUAUUGCAAUAACCCCCUUCAUAUGAACAUAGUAAAUCCUUCAUAGUAACAUCCAUUGCAUUUUUUUUCUUUCACAGGGAUGACGCUGUAACUCUGACAGAAUGUCAGAUGCCCCCAGGACCUUGCUUUCUUCACCCAGGCGUCAAUGCCAUCUGAUCAGAUGCUGGCUCCUUUCCUGGCCGGGGAAGUUGGGAUCCACAGUGGUGGUUUUAUGUUCCUCUGGUGCUUCCCGAAGAGCCCUUGCAAAUCAGCUACCAACUGAGUGCUCUGUCUUCAACCAAAAAGGAUUAUCUUAGAGACCCGUGGAAGCGGACUAUGCCAGCCAGGUACUCUUGGGCAUCCCAUUUAAGAACACUGAAACAAUUGACCUCUGCCUGCACUCCAAACAGAUGAUUCAAUUGGUCUUCUAGGGACAUCACUGAGAAUAUGGUGGCCCUGAGGUCUAUCUCACUCAGCCAUCCGCUGUUUGAGUUAUUCCUUAUCCUUGAAUUGUCCAUGAAGAGUCUCUCUGAGCCCACCUUGAACAAAGAGAGGGACUGACAAGGCUGAGGCAACUUUAUGCUUCAUAUAAGUUUAGGCUGCUUUGCUGAGAACCACUAGGUCCCAACUCUGCAAACUUCCUGCAUUUUUGCUUGUUUACUUCAACUGAGACCAGAAUCCCAAGUCCUUGUGCCUGAGGACACAACUUUCCUGCCUCAACUUUUCUACUAGUACAACACUGGAUGCAGUUCAUUAUGUUUCAAGGCACCUUCCGCACACCAGCUGUUAGCAUGACAUCCUUCUGCUUUGCACAGGCACCUAUCCCCGGGUCUCUGCUUACAGAAACUUUGCUUGUCCCCCCGCUCCACCCCCCCCCCCACCUGCCUGACACUGCUCUGGCUCAGGCUUCGAGCAUCUCUCUGCAAUAGUCUCAUUCAAUAAUACCUCUCCUUACUCGGGU